rnacentral:misc_RNA from 1 species
ACGAGUUAGGGUCUUCUAGGCCCGGACCUCCCAACCCUAUGUUUAUUGAACCUCUGUUGCUUCGGCGGACCCGCCUCACGGCCGCCGGAGGACCGCUGCAAGGCGUCCUCUGGCCAGCGUCCGCCGAUGGCCAACCACUUAAACUCUGAAUGAAUCGUGUCAUAUGUCUAAGUCUAUGAUUAAAUUAAAGCA